AGCUCCAAUAGCGUAUAUUAAAGUUGUUGUGGUUAAAAAGCUCGUACACUGACACUGACACUGACUUUUUUACCCGUGUGUUUUGCCAGAAUCUUACGGGUGAUCUUUACCGAUUGUCCGUUGGAACUGGCAGGUUUACUUUGAAAAAAUUAGAGUGCUCAAAGCAAGCUUACUGCUUGAAUAGUUGCGCAUGGAAUAAUAGAAUAGGAAGUCGUUUCUAUUUUGUUGGUUUUCGGAAAUCGACUUAAUGAUUAAUAGGGAUAGUCGGGGGCAUUCGUAUUCAAACGACAGAGGUGAAAUUCUUGGACCGUUUGAAGACGAACUAAGGCGAAAGCAUUUGCCAAGAAUGUUUUCA
rnacentral:rRNA from 1 species